GCCUGAUACCAAAUAGUCGGCGAGUGGUGACCUCUGCCCUCGAGUUGACUUCAUCAGCUACACGAUCCCAAAGAGAUCUCGAUUCAAAGCACAAAUGCUCUUGUUUUGAUUUGCACUGCAGCUAUUAUCUGACGUGGCUCCAUAAACGAUAAACAGUUUCUCGAAUUUCAAGUUAAUGCAUCGCCGAGCUCCGCCAUUUUCCAUACACUCGUGUCUAUCUCUCCAUACACUCGUGUAUCUCUUGAAUAGAGAAAAAGGCAGACACUUUGAUAAAUUGCGCUUGUGCUCUUCUGACGCACCCGAAGCUUGAAUGGGGCUGCGAGUGUUUUUGUUAAAUUAUUGCGAAAAUGGUCCGCUAUCUUUCAGCGCAGCAGAGUGCUCGUACAAGGCGGAUAAAGCCUCAUUUCAAUAAAACCAUCCACAUUGUCGCAAAAUGGGGAUAUUCCAAAUUUGCAGUCUAUUUUUACCAUACAGUUUUAUAAUCUCGUGUGUGUGUGUGUGUGUGUGUGUGUGUGUACUCUUUCCGAUGAAUACUUCAAUACCUGCGAGGCAGUUUGUUUUUCGUAUUUAUCCAAUAUUUAUCAUAUUUCACGUUUUUAUCAAAUCUACAGUGGAACCUCCAAGUUUAAACGAAAUGUGGUUGAUUUUUUUAAAAACAUUUUCUUUCAUCAGAAAUCAUGUGAAAAUACAACAAAUAGCUGCCGUGAAAAGCAUGAACGGUGUCAACAGGCAAUAAUUUGGCCGAAAUGAAAGAAAACGUCUGGUGGCAAAUGUGUAAAUAAGAAGGCGAUAGCUCUCAUUUUUCAAACUUUUGUCAUCUUGGUGUUAAAAGAAGUGAACCACUGGAUGUAAAAACAUCCCAAAACAAAUCUUAAUUCAAAAAAAAAAUUUAAGCUCAUAAACCGAGCUGUGGAUGAUCUGGCUUUAAAUUUAAAAUAGUAUCUGAGAAAUUAUCUCAAAAAUUCAAUUUCUGAAUUAAAUUUAAAAAUACCCCAUCGCUUAUCAAAAAGCAAAUCACGAUGACAUAAAAAAAUAAAAUGAAAAUCCUCUGGUGGGGUUUUCUGUUCCUUUUUCCCCAGAAUUAAUUUGCAUCCACUUCCACAAAAAUAAUAGAAAUGAA